rnacentral:misc_RNA from 1 species
UUGCUAUUAAAUAACUUAGUUCCAAUACAACCUUGUUAUAAUAACGAACAAAAUGCGUUACUACAUUUCUGGACUUUGGUGGAAACCCAUAUCAUAUUUAUUGGAAAUUAUCAUAUAUAUACAACAAAAAAUGAAUAAAAAAGAGAAUUCAAAACUAGGAAAAGAAAAAGAUAAAGAAUGAGAGAAGUGUUCUCUGUGGUAACAGAACUACAACACUCAUCUUGCACAAAUCUUCCGUCCCCAAUGAAUGAUUUUUAAGAGGGAAAGAAAAAGAAUGAUUACUUUCCUGAACAAAACUUUAACUCGAAUCAAUGUCCCUGCCACCAGCAACAACUUUGCGAUGACGCCUAGAGCCAGACUUCCUUCCUCGCCUUGCUCUUCGAACCGGAAUACUUGCAACCCUUUCGGCUGAAGUUUCAAGUGCUGUCUUUGGUGGUUCAUACACCAAAACAAGGGGUGGCGGCGGUGGAUAAACAGUAGGAGGCAGAGGAGUCAUGUGCCCUAAAACAUCUCUAUGGUACUUCUGAACCACAAAGUUGCGUCUUUCACAGUCCAAGAACAUGUUCACAGUCCAGUUUGUUUUAGCCUGAAUCUUAUCCCUUACUGUCGAAAAGCUGAUUUGGUCCCUCGAAGUAAAGCGGUCAACUUCAUUGAACCAAAGACAUGUAAAGAGGUUGCUAAUAGGAACAUGCUCCCUUAUUAUAACACAUCCUUCAGGAACAUCACUUCUAAUAGGAAGCUUGGCCACUGAAUAUGGAGUCAAACCCUCCUUCUUAUAAAAAUCAAUCUGAAAGUCAAUGGAGGCAUUGUCAUACUUCCCAGCUGCUUUAUUUGCCUCAGCUUCCACAAAAACAUCAAAACGCUUGUAAUGUCUAGAUAUUGCAAGAGUGGCAUUUUUUCUCCACAAGUGCCUUUCAAGAAUUUGAUAUGGAUCCACAACUAGUUCAAGCUUCCCAUCAAUCCAUAAAGAAAAGCGGGCAUUUGGAAACAUCCUAUGUGCUAGAAGCUUUGGAACCUUUCCGUUGCGUCUUCCAUCUUUGUAAGGAAGAUUAUGAACGACAACAAUUCUCCAUAUCCCAAUCUUCCUGCUGCUGUCUAGACCAUUUUUCUUCCUCAAAUAUGCUUCUGUUUCUUCAUCAACAAACAUGAAGAAGCAUACAGUCCUCUUAGAGUAUUCACUAAUAUUACUUGGCUGUUGGAUGUUGUCAAAGGCUCCAAAUAUUGCUGAAGCAACAACCACCCCUUGACACUGCUCCAUUGCAGCCAGGUCAAUUUCAUCCAUGUCAAAUCCUGUAUUGCGGCCAGGUUUUUUCCCUCUGACAAAUCCACAAUGCAUACUCAUCGACUCUCUAAUAUCAUAAGAC